AAUCAACGCUGGCGGCGUGCCUCAGACAUGCAAGUCGAACGAUUAAAGCUCUCUUCGGAGAGUGUAUAGAGUGGCGCACGGGUGAGUAACACGUAAGUAAUCUACCUUUGAGUGGGGAAUAACCCGGGGAACCCGAGCUAAUACCGCAUAAUGCAGCGGCAUCGCAAGAUGACAGUUGUUAAAGGAGCAAUCCGCUUAAAGAGGAGCUUGCGGCAGAUUAGCUAGUUGGUAAGGUAAUGGCUUACCAAGGCUACGAUCUGUAUCCGGUCUAAGAGGACGGUCGGACACACUGACACUGAAUAACGGGUCAGACUCCUACGGGAGGCAGCAGUCGGGAAUUUUGGGCAAUGGGCGAAAGCCUGACCCAGCAACGCCGCGUGAAGGAUGAAGUAUUUCGGUAUGUAAACUUCGAAAGAAUAGGAAGAAUAAAUGACGGUACUAUUUAUAAGGUCCGGCUAACUACGUG
rnacentral:rRNA from 1 species